CCGAGCAUGGAUUAAUGAUCACCAACACGAGGGGAUCAUAAGGUAUGAUGAAAGCUUUAUAGGAAUCACGUCGAGACGGGCGCAAGCAUGAGAUGUUAACGGGUCAAUAAGAGGCAAGGAAUCGGAUGCGAGCACGGACGCAUAAGGUAAGUGAUUUCUGUAAUCACUUCUUAGUUCGAUUAUGUAAUAUGAUGUUUUAAGUA
rnacentral:lncRNA from 1 species